CCUCCCAAAUGACUAUAUCAACAGAUCCAGCUUUUCUUUUCAAUAUAAAAUGUAUUGAUUGUAGCCAGGUAUGGUUGUAUAUGCCUUUAGUCCUGGUACUGGAAGCAGAGGUUCAAGUGAGUUUGAAGACAGCCAUGGCUGUUACACAGAGAGGCCCUGUCUCAAAAACAGAGCAGUAUAUUUUUUUCCCUAACCAUCCAAAACAAGAAAUACCUACCCACACACAAACACAGCCCAAAACAUUAAGAUGAUGACUUGGGGGGAAGUUACUUUUUAAAAAUAUGUUAGUAUGGAGACAGAGAUUCUGAGCAGUUAGUAGUUACAUAUAUGACUGUUGGAAUUUGGUGCCAACUCUUGAGUUGCUCACAAUGGUUUAUGAUUCCAACUCCAGGGAAUCUAACCCUCUUCUGGCCUCUACAGGCACUAGUGGGAAUACCCACACACAUAAAAAAAAAUACAUGAGGGGUUGGGGAUUUAGCUCAGUGGUAGAGCGCUUGCCUAGGAAGCGCAAGGCCCUGGGUUCGGUCCCCAGCUCCGGGGGAAAAAAAAAAAG
rnacentral:lncRNA from 1 species